UGAAGUUUGAAAACUUUAUUUUAAAAAAAAAGUUUGUGUAAAAUGUUGAACUUUUGCAUUUAUGAGCUCUUAUAAAAGUGAAAAAGAUUUAAUUUUUAACAACUUUUUAUGGGCUUAAAAUAUCUAUAAUUUCGCGGUGUUUCUUCUUUAUUUUUUUCCUUUCUACCCCUUUUAUUUUAUUUUAGUGAAGAUUUAUUCUUAAUAAUUCAGUUUUCUAUCCUAAGUUAACAGAACUGAACCAAAUAGUCUUGCUUUUUCUAAUAGAUCCAUUUUCAAAUCUUUAUUGUAUUGCCUAUGCUAGUGGAGAUGGUUUUAAUAUCUUGCAAUUACGGUUAUGCAAUGUUUUCGAUUUUAAUGAAAAUGCUAUCGCUCAUACUUUUUUAUUUAAUUCUUACUUUUUGACUUCCUACACUUGCUUACUUUUAUAAUACGAUACUUCCCUUUUUUAAGGCCGUGUUUUCCAUGUACUCCCAGUUAUUUUCCAUGUACUCCACAGUUUUUCAUGUACUCUUCAGUUUUCCGUGUACUCCCCAGUUUUUCAUGUACUCCCAGUUUUCCACGUACUCCCCAGUAUUUUAAGGACAAUUCUUUUUACAGUUUUCUCCAGGUUCAAAUCUUUUCCAUUGUUUUCCUUUCUCUUAGAAUUCCUUGUCUCUAACUAUAUAUAUUGUAGUGUAUAGUGUUUAGUGCUCCCUAAUUUUAUAUUAUGUUUAUAAAUAAAUUGUGUAAACUUA